rnacentral:rRNA from 1 species
CAGUAGCCGCGGUAAUACGAACCGUGCGAACGUUAUUCGGAAUUACUGGGCUUAAAGCGCGUGUAGGCGGCUCGGCACGUCGGACGUUGAAAGCCCCCGGCUCAACCGGGGAAGUGGCGCCGACACGGCCGAGCUGGAGGGAGGUAGGGGGGUCUGGAACUUCCGGUGGAGCGGUGAAAUGCGUUGAGAUCGGAAGGAACGCCCGUGGCGAAAGCGAGGCCCUGGACCUUUUCUGACGCUGAGACGCGAAAGCCAGGGGAGCGAACGGGAUUAGAUACCCCCGUAGUCCCUGUCUCUUAUA